rnacentral:rRNA from 1 species
CACGUAGGGUGCGAGCGUUGUCCGGAAUUAUUGGGCGUAAAGAGCUCGUAGGCGGUGUGUCGCGUCGGCCGUGAAAACCUGCAGCUUAACUGUGGGCUUGCGGUCGAUACGGGCAUCACUGGAGUUCGGUAGGGGAGAUCGGAAUUCCUGGUGUAGCGGUGAAAUGCGCAGAUAUCAGGAGGAACACCGGUGGCGAAGGCGGAUCUCUGGGCCGUAACUGACGCUGAGGAGCGAAAGCAUGGGGAGCGAACAGG